UGACACAUCUGUAAGCUGUUUAUAUCUCUCCUCUGCAGAGCGGGUUGGAGAACAGAGAGAAAAGGAUCGAUACUUUAUAAAGUGACCCUUCUCAAAUGGCAUUUGCACUCAAGAAUGGAAGGGUUGAUUUUACAGUGAAGCCAGGGCUGAGAGCCAAGUGAUAUAACCAAAAUAUGAAGGGACAUCACUUCAAUCUUGGUACCUCUUCCUUAAUCAUGAAAUCAUUGUUUUGGGAAGAUACACUGGAUUAAAGUGCAAGUUGGAUUGAGACAUAGGGACUCUGAAGAAAGAACAGAUGUGUGGCUAUUGGAAUGUGACUGAAAAAUAUCUAAACUGUCAGUGACAAUGACAAUGGAAGGCAAGGAAACCUACAGGACCAUUUUAGAUCUGUCGUAGACCGGAUAUGGGAAGAGAAUGACUAGAGGUCAGUAUUUCUCAAAGUCAGUUCGGUCAUUUACAUCUUAAUCACUGGGAUCUUUAUUAAAGUUCAUAUUCUUGGGUUCUCCUUUGGCGC
rnacentral:lncRNA from 1 species